rnacentral:lncRNA from 1 species
UAAACUUGAAGUAAAAAUAGAGGAUAAAUGGUUGGACUUGUGGAAAGGAAGGUUUCCACAAUCAAACCCACAUACCUCAACUUUGGAGAAUCCUUGAUGAAGAUUGGAAUGGAGAAUUGAAGCUUGAGAUUGAGUCUUGAAUCCGAAAUUAGAGCUUGAGAUGUUUGAAUUUGGUUGAAGAUCUUGGUGGAAUUUUGGAGAGGGCUU